rnacentral:rRNA from 1 species
UACGAAGGGGGCUAGCGUUGCUCGGAAUCACUGGGCGUAAAGCGCACGUAGGCGGCUUUUUAAGUCAGGGGUGAAAUCCUGGAGCUCAACUCCAGAACUGCCUUUGAUACUGGGAAGCUUGAGUCCGGGAGAGGUGAGUGGAACUCCGAGUGUAGAGGUGAAAUUGGUAGAUAUUCGGAAGAACACCAGUGGCGAAGGCGGCUCACUGGCCCGGUACUGACGCUGAGGUGCGAAAGCGUGGGGAGCAAACAGG